CCCUUAGAUGUCCUGGGCCGCACGCGCGCUACACUGACAUGUUCAACAAGCCUCCUAGUUCGACAGGAUUUGGGAAAUCUUUGAACGCAUGUCGUGAUAGGGAUAGAUCAUUGCAAUUAUUGAUCUUGAACGAGGAAUUCCUAGUAAACGCGAGUCAUAAGCUCGCGUUGAUUACGUCCCUGCCCUUUGUACACACCGCCCGUCGCUACUACCGAUUGAACGGUUUAGUGAGGGCCUCGGAUUGGUCUCGGCCCGCUCUUUACCGGGCGGCGCCGUUGGUCGAGAAGACGCUCGAACUUGAUCGUUUAGAGGAAGUAAAAGUCGUAACA
rnacentral:rRNA from 1 species